rnacentral:lncRNA from 1 species
UAUAGAAUGAAUCUGAAAUUUUUGCGCUAAAAUAAACAUGUUAAUUGAAAAUUAAGAACAUUCUUUUCAAAUGCAGGAAAACAUCAACAAAGAUGUGCUAUCAUUUCUCUAAUUUCUAGAUUACACAACUGUUUGUAAAUGAAGUUUGGCAACACUAAAUUUUUGUGCCAGGAUAAAAACACUCGAUGCUAUUUUCCUUGACCUUGAAGUGAAAAU